GAUGAACGCUGGCGGCGUGCCUAAUACAUGCAAGUCGAGCGAACAGAUAAGGAGCUUGCUCCUUUGACGUUAGCGGCGGACGGGUGAGUAACACGUGGGUAACCUACCUAUAAGACUGGGAUAACUUCGGGAAACCGGAGCUAAUACCGGAUAACAUUUGGAACCGCAUGGUUCUAAAGUGAAAGAUGGUUUUGCUAUCACUUAUAGAUGGACCCGCGCCGUAUUAGCUAGUUGGUAAGGUAACGGCUUACCAAGGCGACGAUACGUAGCCGACCUGAGAGGGUGAUCGGCCACACUGGAACUGAGGCACGGUCCAGACUCCUACGGGAGGCAGCAGUAGGGAAUCUUCCGCAAUGGGCGAAAGCCUGACGGAGCAACGCCGCGUGAGUGAUGAAGGGUUUCGGCUCGUAAAACUCUGUUAUUAGGGAAGAACAAACGUGUAAGUAACUGUGCACGUCUUGACGGUACCUAAUCAGAAAGCCACGGCUAACUACGUG
rnacentral:rRNA from 1 species